ensembl:lncRNA
ACACCUGUGUUCAAUUAGCCUAACAUGUUCUGUUCAUGGUACAUAUCCUCCUAUGUGUUCAAUUAACACUUUGUUCUUUCUACCAUUGAGUCAUCUGUGGUAGAUCUCUUGUGUACUUAUUUUACUGUCUUCUGUCACUCUGGUGAAACUUUUCAAAUUUUGUGAAAGAAACAGUGUUGAUGUCAUCAGGUUUUCGGUUCACAUUUCAAACGGUUUGACUAAUUAUUAGCAUGAUGCUGAGGAUUUUUAAUCUUUUGAUGAUUCUGACCUGGAUCCAACUUCUCCACUUAGUGAAUUUGACCCCUCACCUCCCUGAAGGGUUUUGUUUUUUAUUUGUUGUCUUCUCUGCUGAUAAUAACAAACAUAUGUACACGCAUCUGCGUGAAUGAAGUUUCGAGGGGUUUUUCCCCGCCCUGGCAACUACUCAUGACAAAAAACAAGUCACUGAGAACGAACAGGAGAAAAGUAUUUUAAUGUAGUUCAGUUAAGUUGCUUCAGGUGCAAUAAUUCCAUAGUUCUCUAAAAUAACAGGAAAAAUAUGACAAUUAUCUACAAAACGUUUAACUUUAUGAGCACAACAUAUUAAUCUACCCCAAAUCUUGCCUCUGAUCAGGCUCCAGCUCAGCUCUAGAUAUGUUAGAGGACUUGGGUCAGUGUCAGAGAUCAGCUACUUACCCAAUCAGGUAACCAGCUCCAGAAGGAAAAUUACUUCCUUCCGACCACUUGUACUCACCUGCAGUGACCCGCAGCAAUCAGAGGUGUACGAGACUCCUAAUCAUGAAAACCCCUUUAGGUCAGCACAUGCACACCCCACCACAGCCCACCCAGCCUCCUUCAACACCACCACCCCCGAAAGGAAACAGAAUGGAACCCAAAUACAGUUUGAAGCCUCAGAUGUUGGUUGGCUGGUUUGUACACUUAAUGCUCGCUGAAGAGUGAUCCUCAGUUUUCACUUACAAAGCUUCAAGAUGCUAAACUCCAUAAAACUGUGAAAAACCGUGCUCAGACAACUGUAAACAAUAGGUGUGCUGAUUUCCUCUGAACAAUAAGUUGCUAUAAAUUGUGCAUUUUUUUUUCA